GACGAACGCUGGCGGCGUGCCUAAUACAUGCAAGUCGAACGAGUGGCGGACGGGUGAGGGACACGUGGGAACCUACCCAUCAGAGGGGGAUAACACUUGGAAACAGGUGCUAAUACCGCAUAUUGAUGGAUGGAGCCGCGGUGCAUUAGCUAGUCGGUGGUGUAGAGGCUCACCUAGGCGACGAUCUCUAGCUGGUCUGAGAGGAGGAGCAGCCACACUGGGACUGAGACACGGCCCAGACUCCUACGGGAGGCAGCAGUGGGGAAUAUUGCACAAUGGGCGCAAGCCUGAUGCAGCCAUGCCGCGUGUAUGAAGAAAGCCUUAGGGUUGUAAAGUACUUUCAGCGGGGAGGCGUUACCCGCAGAAGAAGCACCGGCUAACUCCGUGCCAGCAGCCGCGGUAAUUC
rnacentral:rRNA from 1 species